ACUAUUUUGGCAGAAAAGUGCGUUAGAUUUAGGAUCUAAAUAUGUAUAAUUUACAAUUAGUA
rnacentral:tRNA from 3 species